CGGCGGGCGGAGCGCCACGACCGGUUCGUCGGCGGCGAGAAACUCCCGGGCAAGGUGACCUUCGUCUCGGCGCAGGAGCAUACAGGCCCGGUGAGCGUCGGCCCGUCGGUGGACCGAGGAAGACCGUCGCGGAGCGGCGUCGACCGUUCGUCGUGUGUUGGCGUUCGACUCGGGGGGACUGGUUCCAGUGCCCUCGGACCGCGCCGGCGCAGCGGCGGGCGCGCACGGCGUCGCGCCUGGGGUCGGUGGCGAAACGGCCGGCAACCUGUCCGACCCGUCUUGAAACACGGACCAAGGAGUCUAACAUGUGCGCGAGUCGUUGGGCGCUACGAAACCCGAAGGCGCAAUGAAAGUGAAGGCCCGGUCUCCGGCCGGCCUGGGUGGGAUCCCGGCGGUCUCGGCCGUCGGGCGCACCACCGGCCCGUCUCGUUCGUUACGUCGAGGAGGCGGAGCAAGAGCGUACACGUUGGGACCCGAAAGAUGGUGAACUAUGCCCGAGUAGGACGAAGCCAGAGGAAACUCUGGUGGAGGUCCGCAGCGAUUCUGACGUGCAAAUCGAUCGUCAAACUUGGGUAUAGGGGCGAAAGACUAAUCGAACCAUCUAGUAGCUGGUUCCUGUCGAAGUUUCCCUCAGGAUAGCUGGCGCUCGUCGUGAGCAGUUUUAUCCGGUAAAGCGAAUGACUGGAGGCCUUGGG
rnacentral:rRNA from 1 species